AUUGACAUGCAAGUCGAGCGGCAGCACGGGUACUUGUACCUGGUGGCGAGCGGCGGAGGGUGAGUAAUGCCUAGGAAUCUGCCUAGUAGGGGGGAUAACGUCCGGAAACGGGCGCUAAUACCCAUACGUCCUACGGGAGAAAGUGGGGGAUCUCGGACCUCACGCUAUUAGAUGAGCUAGGUCGGAUUAGCUAGUUGGUGAGGUAUGGCUCACCAAGGCGACGAUCCGUAACUGUCUGAGAGGAUGAUCAGUCACACUGGAACUGAGACCGGUCCAGACUCCUACGGGAGGCAGCAGUGGGGAAAUUGGACAAUGGGCGAAAGCCUGACAGCCAUGCCGCGUGUGUGAAGAAGGUCUUCGAUUUAAGUUGGGAGGAAGGGCAGUUACCUAAUACGUGAUUGUUUUGACGUUACCGACAGAAUAAGCACCGGCUAACUCUGUGCCAGCAAAUACAGAGGGUGCAAGCGUUAAUCGGAAUUACUGGGCGUAAAGCGCGCGUAGGUGGAUGUGAAAGCACCUGGGAACUGCAUCCAAAACUGGCAAGCUAGAGUAUGGUAGAGGAUUUCCUGUGUAGCGGUGAAAUGCGUAGAUAUAGGAAGGAACACCAGUGGCGAAGGCGACCACCUACUGACACUGAGGUGCGAAAGCGUGGAGGAUUAGAUACCCUGGUAGUCCACGCCGUAAACGAUGUCAACUAGCCGUUGGGAGCCUUGAGCUCUUAGUGGCGCAGCUAACGCAUUACCGCCUGGGGAGUACGGCCGCAAGGUUAAAAAUGAAU
rnacentral:rRNA from 1 species